AUUAAUGCCAUUAUCUCAGAAAUAGAGUUGUUAUCGUUGGAGUAGAAUCCUUAUAAAAGGAUGAGUUCAGCUCUGUUUUGUCUCUCUCACCCUCUCUUUGCCCUUCUGCCAUGGGAUGCUGUCCACCAUGGGAUGAUGCAGCAAGAAGGCCCUGGCAAGAUGCACUUUUCAAUCUUGGACUUCCCAGCCUCCAGAAGUGUGAGCCAAUAAAUCUCUGAGGGUUCUGUUCUAUGUCAUUUCCUUUGAAGUCAGUGGGAACUCUGUGCAGGACGGCAACAUGAACACCGGCCUCUAUACAUGAAGGCCAUCAAGUGGUUAACAUAUAGACAGUAUUUAAAUCCUUGGGACUGGAUGAGAUUACCAAGGGAGGAAAUGUAGAUGAAGGAGAAGAGAAAGGAUGGAGUUCUGGAGCACUACAAAUUU
ensembl:lncRNA LINC02373 long intergenic non-protein coding RNA 2373